rnacentral:rRNA from 1 species
GACAGAGGGUGCAAACGUUGCUCGGAAUCACUGGGCGUAAAGGGCGUGUAGGCGGGAAGGAAAGUCAGAUGUGAAAUCCCUGGGCUCAACCCAGGAACUGCAUUUGAAACUUCCUUUCUUGAGUGUCGGAGAGGAAAGUGGAAUUCCUGGUGUAGAGGUGAAAUUCGUAGAUAUCAGGAGGAACACCGGUGGCGAAGGCGGCUUUCUGGACGACAACUGACGCUGAGACGCGAAAGCGUGGGGAGCAAACAGG